ACACGCUGCAAAACAUUAAAAAGCCGAGCAAGUCGAAAAAAUGAAAAAAAAUUGAAAAAUAUAACACAGAGAUGACCAAUUGAUAAACAAAUUUUGUAUUUCAUUUUUCA
rnacentral:ribozyme from 1 species